UUUUCCUUCUAAUCAAGUGAUUUGGUCCAUGUAUAUAUAUUUUUUUUUGUCAGCCAAUAGGUGUAAGAUCAUGUUAGAUUGUCAUGUAUUCAGAAAAAUAUCCUUCUUUCCAAUUUUUGUUUGUUUGAUCAUUUCUGUGCAUGUAUUCAGCGAGUUGAAGCAUGUUUCAGUUUGUAUGUAUGAUCUCAUUGGAUAGAUAAAAUACAAAAUUGUUUGUUAAGUAUUUAUUUUUGCAUUUAAUAUGCUUUUGGACUGCAAUUUGUUUCAGUAUGUGUGUCACAAUUAACUGAAUUUGUCUUCUAUAGUAAUUUGUAAGAAAAAAAGUCACAGCUACAGUAUUGUUUUUUUUUUUGGCCUAACAAAACCAUGUAUAGAAUGUUUGUUUUUACAAAACCAUGGAGACUAAAGCAGGAAUAAAUCUGCUAUUGCUGGAAAUAACUUUAGUAAACCGUUCAAAUUACUACAUGUAAAUGCCAAUUAUUUUGUGAAUUUCAACUUGAAAAUGAAAGUUAAAAUGAAAUAAACAAGCAUCCUCAUCA
rnacentral:sRNA from 1 species